rnacentral:rRNA from 1 species
UACGUAGGGGGCAAGCGUUGUCCGGAAUCAUUGGGCGUAAAGCGCGCGUAGGCGGCCCGGUAAGUCCGUUGUGAAAGUCAAAGGCUCAACCUUUGAACGCCGAUGGAUACUGCCGGGCUAGAGUCCGGAAGAGGCGAGUGGAAUUCCUGGUGUAGCGGUGGAAUGCGCAGAUAUCAGGAGGAACACCAAUAGCGAAGGCAGCUCGCUGGGACGGUACUGACGCUGAGGAACGAAAGCGUGGGGAGCGAACAGG